rnacentral:rRNA from 1 species
GGCCACACCCUUCUCUAUGUUGAUUACUUUAAGGAUGGUGCACUCUUCAGGCCACAUCAAUCUCGUCGCCAAUUCGGAAUGAGAAGGCAUAUGUUCAAUCGUAUUCGCGAAGGAGUGGUCGCGCAUGACCCAUACUUUGAGGGCAAGGAGGAUGCCCUAGGCAAGCUUGGUUUCUCUUCAUACCAGAAAUGCACCGUGGCUAUCCGCAUGCUUGCAUAUGGAAUUCAUGAUGAUCUUGUGGAUGAGUAUGUUCGUAUGAGUGAGUCCACAUGUCUCCUUUCAAUGUAUAGUUUUUAUACGGCCUUGGUGGAAGUGUUCGGCCUUGAGUAUCUCAGAGAGCCGACUGUCGCUGAUACAGAGAGCUUGUUGGCAAUUAAUGCCGAGAGGGGCUUUCCG